AACCCAGACACCCAAGGAGGGAAGGAGUCCAGGUGAUGACAGAAACAGAAGAGAGGUGUGUCUGUAAACCACCAAUGGCCACGAGGGCUCACAGCCACCAGGAGCUAGAAAGAGCCAAGGAAAGGUUCUUCCUCGAGUCCUCGCUGGGAGAUGGCCUUACUGACACUUCAGCUCCACACCCCCAGCCUUCAGACCUGGGAAGAUCAGUUCUCCUUGGCACCCUUAAUUCUAAACUCGCUGAAGCAGAAUUCUUGGCAGGUGGUCUAAACUCUUACCGCAUCUAACAGAGUGCCGUGAAUGAAAAGGUUAAAUCACCCAGGCGGGGUAGACACUGAGGCCUGAGUACCUGGAACAGUGGAGGUGGUUGAAUCUGCUUUACAUCUGGCCCCAGUCACCUUGACCUUCAGUCACACCAAACCACUCACUCCAUGCACUUUGCACAUGACAGUGUAACAUUCUGGGUGAUGUUCUACGUAAUCCCUGCUGGCAAAGGUCCUGUCUCUGUGAACCCAGUUUCUGCACAGCACCAGAUGUGAAGUUUUCUCUAAUUUCCUAAGACCGUGACCUCCUAAAGCAAGGGAUAGUGUACAUCGCUGCUGGUGACUUCUCCCACAUGCAGAAUAGUGUUUCAGAAACUGCAUGAGAACGUCCUCAAAAACGAUUUCUGGGAACAUGACUAAGGAUGGUUCUAAGGCCAACUCAUCAAGUUAAUAAAUACAGCACACUACCAGGAAAGGAGUGCUUUUGCAUUUCAGCUGAGUCUACUUA